rnacentral:tRNA from 1 species
GGACGUUUAGCUCAGCCGGUAGAGCAUUCGCUUCACAUGUGAAGGGUCAGCGGUUCAAGUCCGUUAACGUCCACCA